rnacentral:rRNA from 1 species
UCAAGCUGGCAACUGUCACGUGGUUGCCCACUGAAGUUAAUUAGGUCUGCGCCCGUUCAGUACCUGGAUGGGAGACCACACGGGAAAGCUAGGUUGCUGCCGGAA